AACGAACGCUGGCGGCAGGCUUAACACAUGCAAGUCGAACGCCCUCUUCGGAGGGAGUGGCAGACGGGUGAGUAACACGUGGGAACGUGCCCUUUGGUUCGGAACAACUCCGGGAAACUGGAGCUAAUACCGGAUACGCCCUUCGGGGGAAAGAUUUAUCGCCAAAGGAUCGGCCCGCGUCUGAUUAGCUAGUUGGUAGGGUAAUGGCCUACCAAGGCGACGAUCAGUAGCUGGUCUGAGAGGAUGGCCAGCCACACUGGGACUGAGACACGGCCCAGACUCCUACGGGAGGCAGCAGUGGGGAAUAUUGGACAAUGGGCGAAAGCCUGAUCCAGCCAUGCCGCGUGAGUGAUGAAGGCCUUAGGGUUGUAAAAUCCUUUCACCGGUGAAGAUAAUGACUGUAGCCGGAGAAGAAGCCCCGGCUAACUUCGUGCCAGCCGCCGCCGUAAUAC
rnacentral:rRNA from 1 species